UACGGAGGGGGCUAGCGUUGUUCGGAAUUACUGGGCGUAAAGCGCACGUAGGCGGUCAGGCAAGUCGGGUGUGAAAGCCCUGGGCUCAACCUGGGAAUUGCAUUCGAAACUAUCUGACUCGAGUAUGGGAGAGGGAAGCGGAAUUUCCGGUGUAGCGGUGAAAUGCGUAGAUAUCGGAAGGAACACCAGUGGCGAAGGCGGCUUCCUGGACUAAUACUGACGCUGAGGUGCGAAAGCGUGGGGAGCAAACAGG
rnacentral:rRNA from 1 species